rnacentral:pre_miRNA from 1 species
CGGACAUUUGAACCAUCGGUCUACCGAGCAAUAUCACCCGCUCGGUGGAAGAUCUUCCUUUCGUCGU